ensembl:lncRNA
GCGAGAGCUGAGCGUUCACCGCCGCUCCCGUCUGUCCCUCAGUGGAAGCCUGUCCGCUCCGCACGCUCUGGCUGCCGUGCAUUCCCAGGAGGAGCGCCGUGUCUGUUCUUACAACAAAGACUUGGCUGAAGUUUCUAAUGUUUUAACUGAGUUUCCUAAGGUGGACUGUGUUUAUGAACAAUCAAGCAAACCCCAUCUGUGUUGCUGUUGUCCCUGUCUUUCCUCCAUAGGGCCACCUGUUCAAUCCCUGGUCCAGAAGAUCCCACGUGCCACGGAGCAAGUGAGCUUGUGCACCGCAGCUACUGAGCCCGAGUGCCAGAGCCAGCAGGCCGCAGCUGCUGAAACCUGUGGGCCUAAAGCCCGUACUCGGCAACGAGAGAAGCCAUGGCAGGGAGAAGGUCUCACUGCGACUGGGGAACAGCCCCUUUUGCUGCAACAGGAGAAAAGCCCGUGCAGCAGCUAAGACUUGGUAC